rnacentral:rRNA from 1 species
CCUACGGGGGGCUGCAGUGGGGAAUAUUGCACAAUGGGCGCAAGCCUGAUGCAGCCAUGCCGCGUGUGUGAAGAAGGCCUUCGGGUUGUAAAGCACUUUCAGCGGGGAGGAAGGCGUUAAGGUUAAUAACCUUGUCGAUUGACGUUACCCGCAGAAGAAGCACCGGCUAACUCCGUGCCAGCAGCCGCGGUAAUACGGAGGGUGCAAGUGUUAAUCGGAAUUACUGGGCGUAAAGCGCACGCAGGCGGUCUGUCAAGUCGGAUGUGAAAUCCCCGGGCUCAACCUGGGAACUGCAUACGAAACUGGCAGGCUAGAGUCUUGUAGAGGGGGGUAGAAUUCCAGGUGUAGCGGUGAAAUGCGUAGAGAUCUGGAGGAAUACCGGUGGCGAAGGCGGCCCCCUGGACAAAGACUGACGCUCAGGUGCGAAAGCGUGGGGAGCAAACAGGAUUAGAUACCCGAGUAGUC